UACGGGGGGAGCAAGCGUUGUUCGGAUUUACUGGGCGUAAAGGGCGCGUAGGCGGCCACCGCAAGUCGACUGUGAAAUCUCCGGGCUUAACCCGGAAAGGUCAGCCGAUACUGCGGGGCUAGAGUGCAGAAGGGGCAACUGGAAUUCUCGGUGUAGCGGUGAAAUGCGUAGAUAUCGAGAGGAACACCUGCGGCGAAGGCGGGUUGCUGGGCUGACACUGACGCUGAGGCGCGAAAGCUAGGGGAGCGAACAGG
rnacentral:rRNA from 1 species